GUUACCAGUGUUGAUUUUUUAUUGUUUAACAGAAAUUCUAUCGAUUUUUCAUAAGUUUUCCCGGACUAUUUUUUAUUGCUAGAUUUUUGUACUUUGAAGUUCGUUACUGUCCCCCUUACUUUUUUGUUUCCUAAAUUGAAAGCAUGAACGUGGUCACAGGCAUUUAAAAGUAUCGUAAACUACGCCAACUCACAAUCUUUUUACCAACAUCACAGCACACAUAUGUAGAACUUGUUAUUUCAUGGUUUUCGAAAUAAAUGAUAUACAUUA